AUUCACAAUUAUCUCAGAAAGAUCCAUUGGCAAUCAGUGCAAUCAGUUCCUGAUCAUUUUGCCCUAAAACUAGGGUUUGGUAUAAAAUCAGUUUAUUUCUGAUUCUUUGGGUGAAACUCUUUUCCAUGGCCCUCCAUAUGUCCACAAGGGUCUACAUACAAAAAAUCAGCUCUUUAUUUGAGCUAGAAGUGCUUCAAUUGAUCAAUGGAAUCAGGAAUCAGACAGUUUGGGAAAGGUCAACUGUGGGGCUAGAAAAGUCAACUCCUGACAUUUUGAGAGUGGAAUCUCAAAAUCCAUGCCUAGGGGAUCCUACAUGUGAAAUUUUAUCAAGGUUGGAUCACGGAUACAUCAUUUAAUCAUCGAAUUAGAAAAGUUACUUAAUUUGGAAAUGGUUGACUUUCCAUUUAGGGCAAGUUUUCAUGAUCGUUGCACUCACUUUAAGCCCAUUCUUCAUCAAGAUAAAAGCUUCAUUUGAACAUUUCUCCAACAUGAAAGUUGUUCCUCUUGUUCCAAGCUUUCUAGAGAUAUAAAGUUCACUCCAUUUGGAUUAGAAUUGAGAAAGUUAUGCUUAGUCAAAGUGAGACAUUUUUUUAGGACACUUAGAAAAAUUUCUAAGUCCAAAAUCUUCAAAAUUUGUCAAGACUUCUUGGCUAGUUUUCUUGCACUUCAAGGCAUUAUUUGAAAUACUUCUUCCCACAGCAAUUGUACGUUGCCAUGUCCUCUUCAUAUCCUUUUGGAAUCAUCUGCAUUUGGAUCCAUGGUUGAGAGAUACAUUCAUUUAAAGUGGGCAUCAUGAUUGAUUUUCUAGACAGAUUUUGGGCCUGGCUGGCCCCAUCAGAUUUUCCUAAGCAGCUGCACAAAACAGUCAUGUUUUUUUUACCUUUUUUUUGGCCAUGCAGUUGGACAUCCAUUCACCUUAAGUUUGGCCCAAAUAACAAAUUUUACACCUCACUCACACUUUUAUUCUUAUGGAUAAUCACUUAUUAAAAAGCCCAUGAGAACACCUAAUCCAACCCUAUUAAGAAGUUGAACCCUAACCCUGAAGGAGCAUUUGGAAUUUUCGUGGCAAGGAGGCAAAGCUUCAUCAAACAUAUCAGAUUCUAUCCCUUCAUUUUCCAUUGGUAGUCAUCUCUUCCAUGGCCAUGUUUUGAUAUAUCCUACGGCUUGCUUACCAUGUUCAUUCCAAAAACCAAUUAAUCCCCUUCCCAUUUUUCAUAUUUCUUUUUCUUAUUUAAAAUAUUUUCUUCGUUCAUAAAUUACCCCAAAAUGAUUUUUCACUUUUCCUUAACGUUUUUAAUAAUAUGUAUAAUCCUUUUUAAUUUUCGUAUUUUUUUAAUAUUAAUAUUUUAUUUAAAUUAUUUAUUCUAAUGGUCCAUUUUAACACACUUUUUUUUAUUGAUUUUUUUAUCCUUAAAAUAUUGUUAGCAUUUGAUUUUUGGAAUGAAGGUUGACGCAAACUGUCCUCAUGGUCAACUUGACCUUUUUCUUGGAAUUUUAUUUCGCCAGUUUUCCAAUUUAUUUUUGGAUUUACUUUUGAACCUAGAAUUGGUUGGUUGAACUUUUAAUUUGACUUCUAUUUUAUUUUAAAUUAAUUGCAGUACCACAUUUUGUUAUUUUUAAAAUCUUUUUAGGGAUAAUGAUGUCCUGACCCACCUUAUAUAGUUUAAAUUUUUCUAAUUUUCUUGAUAAUUUACUAUUUAUUCUUGAUUUAUUUCUAACCUAGUCUAUUAAUUGACUUUUGUUUGACCUAUGUUUUUGUUUUAAUUAAUUCACGUGCAAUUUUCAUUAUUUAAAAAUAAUUUUUUGGGGAUGAUGAUGUCCUGACCCAUUUAUUUAGUUUUAANNNNNNNNNNNNNNNNNNNNNNNNNNNNNNNNNNNNNNNNNNNNNNNNNNNNNNNNNNNNNNNNNNNNNNNNNNNNNNNNNNNNNNNNNNNNNNNNNNNNNNNNNNNNNNNNNNNNNNNNNNNNNNNNNNNNNNNNNNNNNNNNNNNNNNNNNNNNNNNNNNNNNNNNNNNNNNNNNNNNNNNNNNNNNNNNNNNNNNNNNNNNNNNNNNNNNNNNNNNNNNNNNNNNNNNNNNNNNNNNNNNNNNNNNNNNNNNNNNNNNNNNNNNNNNNNNNNNNNNNNNNNNNNNNNNNNNNNNNNNNNNNNNNNNNNNNNNNNNNNNNNNNNNNNNNNNNNNNNNNNNNNNNNNNNNNNNNNNNNNNNNNNNNNNNNNNNNNNNNNNNNNNNNNNNNNNNNNNNNNNNNNNNNNNNNNNNNNNNNNNNNNNNNNNNNNNNNNNNNNNNNNNNNNNNNNNNNNNNNNNNNNNNNNNNNNNNNNNNNNNNNNNNNNNNNNNNNNNNNNNNNNNNNNNNNNNNNNNNNNNNNNNNNNNNNNNNNNNNNNNNNNNNNNNNNNNNNNNNNNNNNNNNNNNNNNNNNNNNNNNNNNNNNNNNNNNNNNNNNNNNNNNNNNNNNNNNNNAUUUUCAUUAUUUUUAAAAUCUUUUUGGGGGAUGAUGAUGUUCUGACCCCAACUUAUUUAGUUUAAUUUUUCAUAAUUUUCUUGAUUAAUUUGCUAUUUAUUUGUUAUUUUUUAAGUUGACUUGAAUUUUCAGUUGACUUCUUUAUGAUCGAUGUUUGACUUAGGGAUUGCUUAUGGCAAUUGAAGAGAUCUUUUGAUCCUCCCUUGUUCAUCUCAUAUGCCAUGUAUUAGAGGCCUUUUACCUUGAUUUUAUUUGGUCCUUACCUCAUGUCCUGAUUAAAUUAUUCAGUGGACCCUUCGUGUGCAUAUUUCCAUCUGUUUGAUUCAUCUGUUAUCUUUUAUACUUGUUUCUCUCAUUCAUGCUUUCUAUUGCUUAAUUAUUUAACAUGUUCAUACUACCAUGAAUUGUUUAAAUGCUCCAUUAUUUGAUUCUUUGGUUUGAUUAUAUAUUGGUUAUUUAUCCGAGUUGAUUGAUAACUGUUGCCUACUUGUAUGAUGUAUGAGGUAUUUAUUCUUAUUGUUUGUUUGCCAUGAACAAUCCACAUUCAUAACAAAUGUACCCAUCUCCCAUAAAGUUUAUAAUAUUUAUUUCUUUAUUUCUUUAGUCACCUAUUAAUACAAGAAUUAAAACGAAAAUCCGAUAACCAUUUCAAAAUAAGAUCAAAAGCUCGAUCCAACGUCGAGUAAUCAUUUUCAAAACUUAACAGAACCAGCACGCAUUCAUCCAUCCUCUUGUAAGUCGAUUGCCUCAGGCAUCGCCAUCUACCUGUAAGUCGAUUGCCUCCGACAUCGCCAUCUACCCUUAUCUGUAACUCCUCUCCGCGCUCCAUUCGUCGACUCUUGUUCCGUUUAGGUAGCACCCAUUAAGUAGAACUCUUUGUAUGAUAACAUAGGUAGAAUUCCCCUAUUCUUUGCAUGCUAACAUUAGGUAGAUGUUCCCCUUUGUAAAUCCUAACACAUAGGUCCAUAUUGCAUGACAACUCUAGAGCAGAGCUUCCCCACUUUUAGACCUUUCGUGCAUCUCCGAUCUUGUGGCAUGUCAGUCCGUUCUAUUGCAAAGAGGUAACUGCCUAAGACUUGAUUCAGCGAGCUGCGACACCUACUGCUAGGACGUUGAACACACUGCCCACCCUCCUUUGACACAGUUGGUGUCCUCUUUUGUAAAUCCAUGUUCAGAUGGCAAUCCUUAACCCCUAGUUAGCCGAACUACGUUUUGCUCUAAUUCUCAUUCCAGAUGAGAUACGUAGGCAUAAGACGCGACGUCUUACCGAGCACACUUCUCUUUAACCCAUAAUUAGCCGAGCUACGAAGACUCUGAUUCUCAUACUCAUAUGAGAUACGUAGGCAGUGGAUGAGAUCAUGUAAGUAUCCUCAAUCAUUCAUUCACUGUGCCUUGCUCAUGAAGCAACCCCAACCUAUGAUCAAAUUCAAUAAAGGGAAGUUCUUUCAUUCAUUAUUUUGUGCAUAUAUGAGAUCAUGUAAGUAUCCUCAAUCAUUCACUCAUCAAGAUUUGAAGUUUGGACUUGAGAAGUUGAUCAGUCAAGUCAUCUAACUAUUUUGAGAUCCACUAGGACCUAACUUUUGAUGUGUUUGUAAAAUGAAGAUUACCCUAAUAGAAAACAAUUUCUUAAGAACCAUAUUAACAACUUUUGUGUUCAUCAAAAAUUCAUUUGAAACUUGGAGGGUCAUCAUUCAUGUCAAAACAUUAUAGGUCAUUUUGACUGAAACCCUAAAUUUAGGUCAACUUCCCAAAGACCUAACUUCUUAAUUUUUCAUGAUUUUGAGGUGAGAGAAAUUACAUUGGAAAGCUUAAUAUAUUUACUUCAGAUGAUAUGUUGGACAAAAUUUCAUAAUCCUAAAAGAAACACAUGUGAUAAUACAAAACACUAUAGGUCACUUUGGGCCAAAACCAUUGAAAUAUGAAAAAUGUCCAACUUCAAAUGCCCAUAACUUUCUCAUCAAAAAUUCAAAUGAUUCAAAAUUUAAGUCCAAAUUUAUCAUCUUGAAAAGAUCUACGAAUUUUAUGUUGGAGGUUUUUCCAUUUGAGACUUGCAUCAUUAAAACAAAAGGGUUUGAAGUUGGCCACUUUUGGCAAAUUUUUCAAAGGCAUGUUUUGUACGUCAAACUUCAUGAUCAGUUUUCACAAUUUUCCAAACUCCAAAUGGAUUUUUGCCCAACAUAGAUUUUGUUCCUUAUGUCAAGACCUUUCCAACCAUUACUCACAUGCCUAUGUUUGGAUUUUCUAUGUGUGACUUUCGAAGAGAUGAACAUUUGUGACCAAACUUGAAAUUCACAUGGAACCUUCAUACACAAGCAAUUGCAAUUCAAAUUGCAUGUCCAAUUCAACUUGGAAUCAACUCAGCUUGUAUUUCCAAUAGAUUUUGGGCCUCACAUGCGCCUGUACAGGCCCAUGCAUGGAGGACCCAAAGCUUCAUGCACAUGAGUUCUUCACAUCAUUGCUUGGAUCUCAGCUAUAAAUAAGAGCCUUGCCUCAUUCAAAUUUCACCCUGAAUUCAACCUGAAGCUCUGCAGAAUUGGAAACCCAACCAUACCAAAGGAAUUCUCAUUUUUAAUUUCUCAUUUCAAGUUUGAAUUUCAACAAAAUCAGUUGAUCUUCAAUACUUAUUCCUUAGCCUUGCAUUCAUAUUACACCUCAAGAUCAAUUUGGAAGCAAGAGAUUGAGUGGAUCGGUUGUUUAAAGCUGCACUUCAAAGGUUUAUCAUCUAACUUUUUUUAUCUGAAUCUCACCAUGUAAUGUGAAUUGCUUGUGUUGAAAUGGUUUUCUGAAGUCCUCGUGUGAGAGGCAAGCCAGUGGUGGCUUUGAUUUUGUGUUUUGAAGCACUUCAGUUUAUGCACCUGGAAAUUCAAGCUCAGAUUUCUAAUUCCAUAGAGAUCUUGAGAGAAAUUCAAGGUUACAGGGGUGAUGUACAUCACCCCAGCUUCAUUUUGGUAUAAGGCUCAUGCAUUUUGGUUAAGUUUGAAAACCUGCAACUAGUGGCCGGAAUCAGUUGGCUCACCGGAGAAGACGGUGGUUUCCACCACCGUCCCCACGUGGAUGAUUCUAGGCCUUUGGGUCCCACUCCUCCGUUCUAAUCGUGGCCAUGCAUUGUGUUUACUUUUUUAAAUCCAGCGUGUGAUGCGUUUGACUAAUGCCUACCAUGGAAACGCGCUUCUAAACCCUUGGAUGUUGCCACGUAAAUUAAUGAAUUGAUCCAAUGGGCGCUAAUUUUUCUCUUUUUCUAAUUUCUGUUUUAUUUUAUUUUAUUCCAUUUAUUUUCAAAAAUUCAUAACUCUUUUAUUUGGAAUCACAAAAAUAUGAGACCAACACUAAAAUUUUUCUUGAAAAAUCUAGUUUCAUAAUCUGAUUUUUAAUUAUUUUUGUGAUUUCAUUUAGUAUUUUUUGUGAAUUAUUUUAUUUUUAUUAGUUUUUAAUUCAUUUUAAUUACUUUUUGACAUUCAAAAAUUCCUAAAAAUAUUUUCUUAACACAUGGAUGAUGAUAAGUCUAUGAAAAAUAUUCUCAUCAAUUUCUUAUUUGAUUUGAGAUUUAUUUGAGAUUUUAAUUCAUUUGUGUUAUUUUUCUUGAUUUUUAAUUGUUUAAAAAUAGUUUCUGUUUUCAAAAAAUGUUGAGAAAAUUUGUCAAACCUUGUUUGAUCAAGUUAGACUUAUGAUGAUUCAAUUGGACUUAUCCAAGUUGAUUUGAAUUGAAUUUGAAGUUUGACCUUAGUUUGUUCAUUUUAUUUUAUGCAUUUAUUUUAAUUCAAAAAAAUACCAAAAAAUAUGUUUGAUCUUUAUUGACUUCUAAUCUUCAUUUCUCUCCUGUUUUACAUUGAUUGAUGUUGAUUUCAUUCACAUUUGAUCAUUGUGUUUUGAUUAUGUCAUUUGAUUUCUCCUUUAUCCAUUUCAUUUCAUCUUCAUUUUCUUCUUCUUUUUAUUUUGGCCAAUGAGUUAAUGAUUUGUGGUUAGUCUUGACAUAUGAGAGGCUUAACCUUCUUUGAUCCAAAUCAAACUCAACUUGAUCAAAGAUCAAGUGAGUUGCUUUGAGGCCAAUGAGUUAAUGACUUGUGGUUAGUCUUGACAUAUGAGAGGCUUAACCUUCUUUGAUCCAAAUCAAACUCAACUUGAUCAAAGAUCAAGUGAGUUGCUUUGUGUCCAAGAUAGGUUGCUUCUUGGUCAAGCAAAAAACCUAAGAUCCAUACAAGGUCUUUCCUUCUUUUCUUUUGGCAUGGCAAGUUGUAGGAGUUUGACUUACUAGUCAUGAUCUCUAACUUGUGUUUAUUUGCCUAUAGUUUUAUUUACCGGCCUCAGAUAGGUGUGAUUACUACAUUAGUCCACUUACGAUUGCUUAACAUAGCGCUAAAUUGUCUUAUGACAUACUAACAUUGACUACUAAUUACUAACUUUAAUUCAAGCAUUUGAUUCUUGCAAUUUACUUUAAUGCAAUUUAUUUUCUUGAUCAUUUAUUAAUAUUGCUUUUCCCUUUGCUCACUUGAACUCAUAUUUUAUGUUUAUGCCAUUCUCUUUUUGCUCACUUGAGCUCAUUAUUGUGAAUAAAUAUAUUGUGGCUUUGUGUUUGUUUUGUCUUUGUUUGUGUGAACCCAAUGCAAAAAGGAGAAAAGACUUAGAAUUAGGACCUUACCUAUGCUUAAAGGAGUUCAAGAGCAACUAGGCCUCAUGCCUUUAGAAUUCUAAAUUGAUUGAAGAGCAACUAGGCCUCAUGCCUUUAGAACUCUAAAUAUUGAAAGUUGACUUCAAAGGACCCCUAAUCUAAACUCAUUCUUUGUCCAUUUCUCUUAUUGCAUUGUGAACCUUUUGAUUUUUUGUUCUUGUGUGAUAGGGAUUCCAAACUUGAGAUAGUAAGAAGGACCAUUGUCGUGAAUAGCCAAGCUAAGAGAGACAAGCCAAAUGGAAAUCCUAGGAGCUUGAAUGUGAUACUUAUUUGAUUACUUGAGUUAAUUGCUUGUUGCUUGCUAUGUCCAAAGAAAAUGAGCAUUUUGAAUCAUCUUUAUGAUCUCAAGAAAGGAACUCCAAGGGUUUUAUCUCUUCUCUCAUCUUUGCAUGUUUAGGACUAGCCCUUCUCUUCUUCUCUCCACUCUAACCUAAGUCAAACUCAUUUUGUGCAAACAUUGACAUUGUUUUCAAAUUAGAAACCUAGGCCAUAUGCCUUUGAUUUUUCAAACUCUUUUCACUAAUACUUAUUUUGAAUGAACCUUAAGUCAACUUUGACUUCAUUUUGUAAAUACUUCUAACUUGUAAAUACAACUCACUUCAAGUUAAUUUUGUGGUUCCAAUGACCACUUUUGUUAAAACCUUUUUCAUAAACAUUAGCCAUAGGUUUGAGUUAUCAUAGUGGUUGAUGUAAACCUCACCUUAUCCUUAGUGAUUGGACUAUAAAUCUUCCAUACUUAUUAUAGGGUGGAUCCGUCACUAGUAUGUUAAAGCUCUCCUCACAUGGUGGAUUGUUGGUUUAGGUUGAGUUUUCUCCCUUUGAUAACAAAAGGCCUUAAGGCUUUUGAUUAAAUCAAUUCACCCAUAUUUUGAGAUUUUUACCCCGAACUACAAGGUUUUGAUUCUACCUUUGUGAUGGUACGUAGGCAAUGGGUUCAUCCAUUAAAACAACAAAAUUGUAAAUAAUAUGUACAUUCUUUUCUCAUCUCCCCAAUCUUAUUUGCAUAAAUAUUUUCACAAAUACCAACCUACAAUACAACUUUGCAAAAAGGGCUCCCUUAGAGUACUAAGGAUGUUUUGGGUGCUUAAAACCUUCCAAUUUCAUAACCAACCCCCUUACCCAAAUCUCUGACAUUUUUAUUAGUUUUUGAUUUGAUAAAACUACUUGGUUUUUGUUCGCUUUCUAACCUUUCCUUUGGAUAAAUAAAAGUGCGGUGGCGAAUCGAAUUGUAUGCUUACUUUUGAUUUAAUCAAUAAAUCUAAAGGUAACGAAUACCCCGCUACAAUACUUCCAAAAGCUUUUCUGGCAAUCCUCGGUCCAAUCACAAGUCUGGUCUUUUCAUAGAAGCUUGAAUAUAGGCGCACAUGUGUCAGUCAUGUGUGAAAUGAAUCUUGAGAUAUAAUUCAAGCGGCUAAGAAAGCCUCUGACUUGCUUCUCAGUUUCGGAGGCAGACAUCUCUUGUAUUGCUUUGACAUUGGCAGGAUCAACUUCAACACCCUUCUCGUUGACAAUAAAGCCCAACAACUUACCAGAACGAACACCAAAUGUACACUUAUUGGGAUUCAAGCGGAGUUUGUACUUCCUCAAACGCUGGAAUAAUUUCAACGAAUGCUCAACAUGUUCUUCUUCAUCACUGGAUUUAGCGAUCAUAUCUUCAACAUAGACUUCGAUCUCUUUAUGCAUCAUAUCAUGAAAAAGAAUGGUAAUUACUCUCUAGUAAGUUUCCCCAUCAUUCUUUAGACCGAAAGGCAUCACUCUAUAACAGAAUGUUCCCUAGGGUGUAAUGAAUAUGGUCUUCUCCAUAUCCUCGAGUGCCAUUUUAAUCUGAUUAUAACCGGAAAGUUCGUCCAUAAAUGAAAAGACUUUGAAUUUAGUUGUAUUGUCUACCAACAUAUCAAUGUGUGGCAGAGGAAAAUCAUCUUUCGGACUAGCUUUGUUCAAAUCUCUAUAAUCAACGCACAUGCGAACUUUUCCAUCUUUCUUCAGAACAAGCAUAAUAUUGGCCACCCAUUAUGGAUACUCAGCAGUAACAAUGAAACCAACAUCAAUCCGCUUAUGCACUUCUUCUUUGAUCUUUACUACCAUAUCAGGAUGAGUCCUCCUCAACUUCUACUUGACUGGCGGGCAUUCUAGCUUCAAAGGCAAUCUAUGCUCCACAUUCUCAGAAUCCAAACCAGGCAUGUCUUGAUAGGACCAAGUAAACACAUCCAAAUACUCUCGAAGAAGAUCAAUCAACCCCUUCUUGACCUCUGGACACAGUUGAGACCCAAUCUUGACUUUCUUCACAUCAUCUUCAGAACCCAAAUUGACUAACCCAAUCUGCUCUUAGAAUGGAUGAAUGGCCUUUUCCUCAUGCUCAAGAAGACGAGACAAUUCAUCAGACACUUCUUCAUCACUUUCUUCCUCAGCUUCAAACACAGGGAAUUCAAAGUUUGAAGAAGGAGUAUGAUCAUUGUAUUCAAUGGGUUUAGAAACCAACCUGCAUAAUGAUUUGAUAUUUUUAUUUUAGAGAAGUGAAUUGUGACCAAAUAUUAUGCAGAUGGACAAUUAUUAUUUAUUUAUUUAUAUUUUUUUGUGAUUACCAUUUUCAGAAAAGCAAAAAAGUAAAAAUAAAAACACCAUAUAUGUGGAUGAAUAGAAUUGCAUUUUAUUGAUGAUCAAAUUGAAAGAUUCCUAACAAUGUUCACUUUUCCCUUAGGCAUAGGAGAAGGAUUUUCAAAAAUAAUAAAACAAUUACUUAGAGUGAUGAACAAUAACAAGACCAUCAACAGCGAUCCAAUUGUUGCAAGCUUUUCCAUGCGUCACAAAAUUGGUGCAAACUUCAUCUUCAUCACCCUCGAUUAUAGUAGUUGAGUGUUGUUCAUUACCAUGGAUGAACCCUCCACUAUGGAAACUAGGUUGCACACCUUCAACUUUAACCGCAGACGACCCUUGUUGGAAACCCAAACCGGACUGGUUCUUGUUCUCAGCAACCUUUACCAUCCGACCCCACUGAUCAGAACUACCACCUUCAACAAUCUUCUAAGCGUCUUUAAAAGAGGACAUAGGUUCCCCAACUUUCUUCUCUUCAACAAUAGAUAGAGCUUGGAAUGAAGUUCCAAUCUCAUCCUUAGCUUCCACAUACGAGAAAGACGAUAGAUGACUCACUAACAGCGCUUUCUCCCCGCCCAUAAUGACGAGCUUACCAUUCUUCACGAAUUUCAAUUUCUGAUGUAGAGUAGAUGUCACAGCUCCUACCUCAUGUAUCCAUGGCCUUCCUAACAAGCAUCUAUAGGCCGAUGGAUAUCCAUUACCUGGAAAGUAAUUUGGAAAUCACUCGGACCUAUCUUCACUAGAAGAACCACUUCACCAAUAACAGUUUUGCGAGAACUAUCAAAAGCUUUGACGAUCACGCCACUGUAUCUCAUCGCAGCUCCUUGGUAGGAUAAUCUUGACAAAGUUGACUUGGGGAGUACAUUCAACAAAGAAUUGGUAUCUACCAACACAUUAGACAAUGCAUCUUCCUUGCAUUUCAACGAUAUAUGUAGUGCCAAAUUGUGGUUCCUACCCUCCUCGGGGAGUUCUUCAUCACAAAGCUCAGAUUAUUGCAGGAAGUAAUGUUAUCUACAAUGUGGUCAAAUUGAUCUACCGUCACAUCAUGUUCCACAUAAGCUUGUUCCAACACCCUUUGCAAUGCUUCUCUAUGCGCUUUAGAAUUCAUAAGCAGAUACAACACUAAAAUCUUGGAAGGAGUCUGGAGCAGCUGCUCCACCAUAUUGAAUUCACUCUUCUUUAUCAAAUGAAGCCCCUCAUCAUCAUCGUUAGGCUUUAGCUUGCUGGAUUCACCAGACUGACACGCAGGAGCACUAACUGGACUUGUUGCAGGCACUUCAACCUUCUUACCAACAUCCUUUACAUCUUUUGGGAAAACAAGACCAAACACACGACCGCUACGGGUCACCUUCACUAUGUCAGCAAUAUUCAUAACAGAAUUAGUCGUAGGUAAUGGGACCUCUUGACCAUUCUCCACCAUUGUAACGUUAUCCUAAUAAUGAACAUCUCUAUCGGAUCCAUACAGGAUUGGGCCCGCUAACCGUAUCACUAACGACGAUACCGAUCUAUUAAUGAUGUUACUGCUGCUAUCAAACUGAAUUACUACCCGCCCUGGGGUCUUAAACAUUGGUACUAUAACAUUGACAUCAUCCAUGUCCCUUGAUUCUUGGAUCUGGAUUACGUUCUCAUCCAUCAACUUCUGGAUAUCUCUCUUGACAACCGAACACCCACAGGGGUUUACAUUGCAAAUCACACAACUGGCAUGUUCAUGCUCACAAUCACUAAUAGUGCACAGGGUUUUAUGCAUCUCUACCAAGGACCGACGAAUACGUCGCACAUCGAACACUUGGAAACUUCCUAGACAUCCAUCUACCAUAUUAACAGAGGAAUUACCUAAGCUGGCAAUGGGUUAGCUUUAAAAUUCGGCACACGAUCCUCAAAGGACAUCAUCCUACUCUUUACUAGCUUCUGGACCUCGUAUUUCAACGGGUAGCAAUUCUUGAUAUCAUGGCCAGGAGCCCCUUGAUGAAAGGCACAUCGGAGUUCUGGCUACCACCAUGGAAGUGGUUCUGGAAUUUGUGGAGGAUUUCUUGGUUGGAGUAGGUUCUGGAGAACCAAAGACGGAUAUAACUCAGCAUAUGACAUAGGAAUAGGGUCAAAAGAGACCUUUUUCCUCUCAAAGUUUUGUUGUUAUUGUUGAUUAUUGGUGGUGUUGUAGUUGUUGAUUCUUUGUUGCGGUUGUUGUUGACGUUGUUGUUGAACUGGCAUUGAUUGAUUGUUUGAAUUGUUUGACAACACUGGAAUAACUUAUGAAACUUGAUGUUGAUGCUGAUGCGGUUGCGGACUUUUUCUAACAUGAGACCUCCUCUGCCUCCCUACUGACACUGUAUUGGUUUCACCUUCCUUCUUCCUAGCGAAACGGUUAUCAUAUUUCUUUCUUGAUGAUACCUCUUCCUUAGACAAACGUCCCUCACGGACACCCUCUUCUAAUCUCAUCUCCAUAUUUACCAUUUCGGUAAAGCCACUAGGGGUACUAGCAAUCAUUCGUUCGUAAUAAAAUAAACUUAGAUUCUUGAGGAAAAUCUUGGUCGUCUCUUUUUCUUCCAACGGAGGGUUGAUUUGAGCAGCAAGCUCUCUCCACCUCUGGGCGUACUCUUUGAAUGUCUCUUUAUCCUUCUGAGACAUCGACCUCAACUGGUCCCUAUCUGGUGCCAUAUCAACGUUGUAUUUGUACUGUUUCACAAAGGCCUCACCCAAAUCAUUAAAUGUGUAAACACUUGCAUUAUCCAUCCCCAUGUACCACCUCAGAGCGGCACCAGUCAGACUGUCCUGAAAGUAGUGAUUCAAUAACUUAUCAUUAUCAGUUUGCGUCAACAUUUUCCUGGCAUACAUGACAAGAUGGCUAAGCGGGAAAGUGUUUCCCUUAUACUUUUCAAAGUCGGGGACUUUGAACUUCAUCGGGAUCUUGACGUUUGGCACUAAGCAAAGUUCUGCAGCACUCUUACCGAACAAAUCUUUUCCCCUCAAGGUCUUUAACUCCUUUUACAGCUCAAGGAAUUGGUCUUUCAUCUUGUCCAUCUUCUCAUAAACAUCCGGACCCUCAGACGGCUCAGAAUGGUAGAUGGUGUCCUCAACACGAGGUAGGGUGUGAAUAACUCGGGGAGGCACAAACAUGACCGGUCUAGAUGUCGGCAUGGAAGCAAAGGUAGGCGCAAAACCUUCGGGCACAAAGUUCGGUGGCAUUCCUUACGGGAAUCCGGCAGGCAUAGUUGGAGCGAAUUGAGUGGCAGACACAAUUGAGGUAGCAACCUCUGAGAUGACAGUCCUCUGAGGAGGAGGAGUUGCAGGCGUUGGAGAAGACGGACUCUGAGCAUCUAGAACAGACUCCAUCAUGGCAGUCAAGCAGACAUUCUUGUCCUUCAACUCUCGGUUCUCUUGUUCCAAAUGUUCCAUGAUUCUCGGAUGAUUGGCGUGAGUAUUAUAUCGAUGAGUCGGCUUGGUUGAAGCAAAGAAGAAUAACCAAUAAGACAUUUGGCAGAAGAAAAACCUGUUAUGCAAAAAAUGCAUGAAAUGCAAUGUUUUGAUUGUUUUUAUUUUCAAGGAACAUGCUAUUUUAUUUGAAAAUAUAUAAUAACAAAUGUAACAAUUUGAUUGACCAUAAAAAUUUAUUUUAUUUGUAUAAUUUGGAAGGUUUACACUGAGUAGAAUUUUAGAAACCAAAAUACAAAUACAAGAGAAAAGUGUUGGUUCUAUGUGUUGGCAUCAAUUUUGGUAAAACUUAGUGUUAUCACAAGAUGUCACGCGUGUUGUCUUGACAUGUGAUAUCAGCUUCUUGCAGGUUGUUUAAAUAUGGUUGUGGGGGAUUUAGUCAAGAUGUCAGACCCGAUCUUAAGACAUGUGCAUACAGAACAUUCAGUCUGAAUGUUAUGUGUUUUGUUGUUUCGUUUUUCAUGCAAAUCUUUGUGUGCUUAUGUGGAGAUUGCAUGCGCUAUUCAAGGAGUAAUUCUAUUUAAAACCAGAAUGUUAUUUUUUCCAAAAGGGAAUGAUUAGUUGCUGGUUCUUAGGAGAUACGCUAUUAAAAUAGAAUUAGGGUUUCAUGCUGCCCCAGGCCCAUUCAAAAAGCUUCUAUUUAAAGGCCAUGUAAAACCUAUUUUAAACACACACGAUACGAACGAUGAAGUGAGAGAGUUUUAGGGUUUUAGUCUUGUGUGAAGUUGUGAAUUGUGAGCCAUUCAUUCAUCUUGUUGAUGUAUGAAUUUGACUGAGUUUUGUGUUAUAAUUUGUCAACUCUAAGCUUUGAAGUACGAGUGUAUUUUUUUACUUGGUUGAAGAUUUUAAGCAAGAUCAAGUAUGUGUCCUUGAAGUGUGUCUUCUUUCUUUUUGUAUUUAUUCUUAUAUCACUGCUGUGAUUGAGGAGGAGUGAGUAGGGUCUCAUAUCUAAGAGUUCUUAGAUAGAAGUCACAUGGAUAGAGAUUAGGUGAAAAUACUGUAACUUGAAGUUGUUUACUGAGAGUCUUUGAACUAAUUCUGUUUAGUGGAUUUCCUUCCUGGCUUGGUAGCCCCCAGACGUAGAUGAGUUUGCACCGAACUAGGUUAACAAUUGCUUGUGUCGCUUGUUCAAUUGUUUCUCUAUUUUUAUCAUGUUUAUAUUUCACUUGUUGUUCAGAUAUUAGUGUCGUGACAUUACCUUCGACAUCUCAUAUCUGAUACCAGAAUUUCAAUUGGUAUCAGAGCAAGCAUCCUGUUCUGGUUCUGGGUGAGAUCCUGGGAUGUUACUUUUUGGUACUAUGGAUAGAGACGGAGGAUCUGUGCAUAGACCACCAAUUAUGGAUGGAUCUAAUUAUGACUACUGGAAACCUUGGAUGGUAGCCUUCCUGAAAUCGUUGGAUAAUAAGGCUUGGAGUGAUGUUCUAACAGGCUGGGAACACCCCUUCACUACAAAGGAUGAAGAAGUUAUAACUGAUAAGAAGCCUAAGGAAGAAUGGACCAAGGAGGAGGAUAAACUAGCUCUUGGAAACUCUAAAGCAUUGAAUGUUAUAUUCAAUGUGAUUGAUAAGAACAUCUUCAAACUGGUGAACAAUUGUGAGAUGGCUAAAGAUGCUUGGAAUAUUCUCAAAACCACUCAUGAAGGUACCUCUAGAGUGAAGAUGUCUAGAUUGCAACUGCUUACUAUAAAGUUUGAGAAUUUGAGAAUGAAAGAAGAUGAAAGUAUUCAUGACUUCCAUAUAAAUAUCCUUGAAAUUGCUAAUGCCUCAGGAGCCCUAGGUAAGAAGAUGUCAGAUGAAAAGCUUGUGAGGAAAAUUCUCAGAUCACUUCCAAAGAGAUAUGCCAUGAAAGUGACAGCCAUAGAAGAAUCUCAAGAUAUCUACAAGAUGAGAGUGGAUGAGCAAAUUGGAUCCCUCCAAACAUUUGAGUUGGGAAUGAGUGAUGGAUCUGAAAAGAAAGUCAAAAGCAUAGCCUUUGUGUCAAACACUGAAGAUAAAAAGGAAAAAAGUAGUCAGGAUACUGAUGAAGAUAUGGCAAAUGAUUUAGCGUUACUUGGAAGACAAUUCAAAAAAAUCUUGAAGAGGGUGGAUGUGAGGUCAAAGUCUAAUGUCAACAACAACUCAUUUGACAUCAGUAUGGCCAAUGAUGCAGGAAGAAGAACAAAAUCUGAAGAAAAAUCCAGACAGGGCAAAGGAAUUCAGUGCCACGAAUGUGAAGGGUAUGGUCACAUUAGAGCUGAAUGUGGGACCUAUCGGAAGAAACAAAAGAAGAGUCUUGCUACUACUUGGUCUGAUGAUAAUUGUAAAAGUGAGAUAGAAGGAGAAUCUGUCAAUCUUGUGACUGCCUUGACUGGGAGAUGGGAUCCUGAUGUAGACUCCAGUGAUGAUGAAUUAACAUUUGAUGAAUUAGCUACUUCUUACAGGAAGUUGUGCUUCAGAAGUGAAGAAGUGUGUCAACAAGUGGAGAAUCAAAAGAAACUGGUAACUCAGCUAGAGGCUGAGAGGACAUAACACUUAGAAACCAUCUCUAAGUUGAAGAUUGAAGUUGUGUUCCUGAAUUCCAGACUGGAUGAGAUGACAAAGCAUGUCAGAAUGCUAAAUAGUGGAUCUGACACCUUAGACAAAAUCCUCCAGGCUGGAAAAAUGGCAAGAGACAUGACUGUCCUUGGGUUCAAUGAAUCCUCUCCUGACUAUAGUCUCACUGGUAGCAAACCAAAGAUGUCACAUCAGGUGUCUCAACAUCACAAGGAAAGACAACAUAAAGGAAAACACCAAAGAUGGAGAUGUCAUUACUGUGGGAAAUUUGGUCACAUAAAACCUUUCUACUUUAGGCUGUAUGGUUAUCCUAGUCCUACUCAUCAACCUAGACCCAAACAACACAUCCCUGCUAACAGAAAAUAGUGGGUUCCUAGGGAUGGUGCUACUAACUCGAUAGCUCACACUUCCUUCAGAGUCUCAGCCAAAGAAGAUUGGUACUUUGACAGUGGAUGCUCCAGACACAUGACUGGAAACAAAAACCUACUGGUUGACCUUCAAUCCCAUGUCACCAGCUAUGUAACUUUUGGUGAUGGAGCAAAGGGUGAAAUCAAGGGGAUUGGAAAGUUGAACUGUCCUGGAGUUCCUAACCUUGAUAAUGUGCUGCUUGUUAAAGGAUUGACUGCAAACCUGAUCAGCAUCAAUCAACUAUGUGAUCAAGGUCUAAAUGUGAAAUUCACAAAAACUGAAUGCUUGAUUACUAAUGCAAAAAAUUGAGGUGAUCAUGAGAGGAUUCAGAUCUAAAGACAACUGCUAUAUGUGGAUUCCUCAAUAAAUUAGUUAUUCAUCCAUAUGUGCUCUAACUAAAGAAGAAGAAGUGAAACUAUGGCAUCAAAAAUUGGGUCAUCUAUAUCUUAAAGGAAUGAAGAGGAUCAUAUUUGUUAAAGCUGUCAGAGGAAUCCCAAAAUUAAAGAUUGAAGAAGGAAGAGUAUGUGGUGAAUGUCAGAUAAGAUGAUACUCCAUAAUUUGUAUCUAUAGAAAUGCUUUAGGGGUUGUUUUGAUUUUAACACAAGUUUUCAGUACUUAUUUUGAUCGGUAACUACGAAAGUAGAGCCUAGGUAUAGUUGGGAAAGAUCGAAAGUCAUCCAACUCUUAAAGAUAAACUUGGUUAGUUUAACUGGUCAAAAGUAGCGAAUGCACUCUGUCCUGUUAAUUGGGAAUUUUUAACACUAUUAGAAAACAAUUUUGAAACUAUUUUCGGACGCGUUUGUAGGUUUAAAAUCCGGAUCCUUGAGUGAAAGCCAUGGAUCCCUUUUAAGUUAAACUUUUCAAAUCAAAAUCACUUUUUAAAUAAGUCAAGAAUUAAAUUUCUUAAAAAUAGGUUUACUACUUUAACGCAAUAAGCACCCUUCAUAAGUGACAAUGAAGAAGAUUAAUUAGAGAGUAAACUUGGUUCUGAAUACACAAAAGCGAUAGUUCCUGUUAAAUUGAUUCUUCUCAAAGUAGAAAAUAUUGCCCCAUAAGUAAUUAUAUUUAUAAACAAUUGGAGUAUUUCCUAACUAAUGUGAAUUACAUUCGAGCCUGCAUUUGUAAUCUGAAUUUAUUUACCUCAUUAUUCCGUUUUCUGUGUAUGUGAAUCUACUUAUUUGAAUUGCCUUAGAUAAACACUGUAAUGAUAGAAAUCGAUAGAUUGACAAUUUGGUCUCUGAGGUAACGAUAAUCUUUUGUAUUACUUUGACGUUUUAAGACCCCAAUUUUGACCCUAAGAUCCCUCAUGCUAUUCUCAUCAUAUGCAUUAGCAUUGGGAUCACAUAUUGGUAUCCUCCUUACCCCUCAUUCAUUGGGUUUUCAUUAGGAGAGAUCACCAAGCACUGUUUGAUUGUAUCAUACUUUGUUUUUCAUUAUUUACUAACCAAAAUACCAAAAACAUGUAAUUGUAUAGUUUAACUCUUUUGUGGGUAGUGCACAUGCUCACAUAUGCUCUAUCAAGUUCAUAUAUAGGGUUUGAGACCCUCAUUGCAAGGAUCUCAAUCAAGAAGUGGUUUAAUAUGGCUCUAAGUAUCACAUAUGGAUCCCCAUGAUCUUCACAUAUCAUUUUGAUCAAGAAAUCAUCAAGAGUUUGGAGUUGGUCUGCCUUGGAAACCCUAAUUCAUCUAGGUAUCUUGUGUAACUUAUUCAACAAGUUUCUUCACCAAUUGAUCAAAUAUUUCAAGGGAUGCUUCAAAUUUCAUCAUAUUAUGCAUAUAUGAUCCUCCAUGAGUCCCAAAAGUCAAUAUGAUAUCAAGCUAGCAAGUUGGUUCAUGGUGGUUGACCAGAGGAAUUAAAUUGAUCAAAACUGGGAUUCCCUAGACCCUAUCUCCUACACUUUUUGUCAUACAAAACUGAUUCCAAGAGAAAAGUUACUCUAAAUGACAUUCCAAACAACUUUCAUGCUGAGUUCAAGAGCUAGUUUUGCUUGGGAAGUCAUUUUUAUGGUGAACGAUUAUAGGUCAUUUUGUCUAAACCCUAAUUUGGAGGUCAACUUCCCAAGACCAUAACUUGCUCAAUUUUUGUGAGAUGAAAGCCACUCAAGUUGCACGAUCAAAUUCAAGAUGUCUACUUCAACUUUUAUGUUUUGAGGAAGUUCAAAUUCAACUUUUAAAUGCAUGUGCUAUGAGGAAACAUUAUAGGUCAUUUUGGGCCAAUACCAUUGGAAAAGUGAUUUUCCUCAACUUCUAAAAUGCAUAACUCCUUCAUGCUAAAUCCAAAUGAGGUCAAAUUUGUUACCAAUUUGAAUUAAUUUGAGAGAGAUACAACUUUGAGGAAGGGACGUUUCUCCUUUGAAGUCCAUAGAAAAAGUUACUCAAGGUGGAAUAAGUGAACAUAUGGCUUGGUUCUUAGAAAAUGUUUUGAUAUGUUUGAUUUUCCAAACUUCCACCUCAAAAUUCAUCAUGAUCCAAGCUUCAAAUGAAAAAGUGUCCAACAUGAAAGUUGUUCCUCUUAAUCUAAUAUUUCCAAAAUGUCCAAAUUCAUCCUAUUUGGGAAAAGUAUGAGUGACUUGCACAUGGCUUAAUGUUGAAUGACCAUUUGGCAUAUUUGAACUUCCACUUUCCACACACUAAUGCAUGGCUUGUUAACAUGACUUCAUCAUUGCUUGCACAUGAUUUUGGACCUGAAUGCAUCAUUACAUGGGCCUAUCACACGCCCAUGCAUACAUGCAAGGCAAUUUGCUAAUUUUGAAAGUUCGAAAGAAGUGUGCAAAUAUCAAAGGCUUUGGCUAUAAAUAGAAGUGUCUAUGCUCAGAAUUGAGGACCCUUGUGCACCAGUUUUGGAGCUACAACCCUAAACCUCCAUAAUCAAAGGAUAACCUUGAGGAAUUUCAUUGAAAAAUCGAGUUAGAAUCUCCCACUAUUUUAAGAUUCAAAACUCUAAGAGUCCUGCUUCUUUCUUGAUCCAUUUCCACUCCAUCAAGCAUCCAGAGUAAGGCCAAGUACAAUUGAGAGCAAGAUCGUGUCCAUCUGAACCUGCAUUGAAGGUGAAUUUCUGAAUUUUUUAUCUCUUCAAUUCUCACUCAAUUCUCCAUUAUUCUUGAUAAUUUUUGGUUGUCUGAAGUCCUACCAAUGUAGGCAAGAAGAUUGAGUUGCUUUUAGGUCAAAUCAAAGCAACUCAGAUCAUGAUCCUCAAAAUUCAACUCCUUAUAUCUUUCAAUAUAAUUUGAUUUAGGUGAAAUUGAGGCCAGAUUCAAGCCCCUGAGCAUUUUUACUUUAAAAUCAUGUCUUCCUUUUUUAUUUUGGUGAUGGUUGAGGGUGGAUCAUUCCGAUGAGGUGCAACGGAGAAGAAGACCGGAGCUCUGGCUCCGGCGAUGUAUUGGCUUGUCCCAAGACCACAGGGUCCUUCUAUUUUGUUUUAAUCUUGAUCGUCCAAAUUGAUUACCACACAUGUGGCACAUUGACUAAGGAACAUCAUGGAAUGCACGCUCUGAUCCACUUGAUCUCCCACCUCAAUUAAUGAGGUAGAUGAAGUGGUCCACGUAUUUUUGCAUUUUCUGAUUUUUAUUUUUAUUGACUUAUUUUCGUUAAUUCAUAUUAAUUUUAAUAUUGAUCCAAAAAAUAUUGGACUUCCACUAAAAAUUCUCAAAUAUUUUUCUCUUUCAUUUUCUGAAUUAAAAUUAUUUUUUGGAUCAAUAUUAAUAUUUUUCAGGAUUUAAUUGUUUUUAUGCAUAUUUUUAAUUGUUUAAAAAUACUUUUUAGUUUCCAAAAAUUAUGAAAUUUGUUCUCCAAGGUCCUUUGACCUUGUUUGACCUAUGAUAAAGUCUCAUGGCCAUUUAUUUGGUGUUUUGAUGAUGUUUUAAGAUUUUGACCAACCAUAAUUUAAUUUAAUACAUUUUUAAUUGAUUUUUAAUUGUUUAAUUGCAAAUAAAUUGUGUUGAGCUAUUUUUAUUGACUUGCUGAGUUUGACUUUUGUUGUUGGGCCUUGGUCAAGGUUGAUUUGACUUUGUUAGAUUAAAAUAAAUGGAUUUAGGGGAUUGAUGAAAUAUACAUUUCAUCUUCCAAAAUGAAUGAAUGAUUUUAAUUUGAUAAAAGUCCUCCUUUGACCAAUUUGUGUUGAUUUCAUUUCCCCUCCUUCUUCCUCUUCAAUCCCUUUCUAUCCCAUUCAUGUCAUUGACCCAUGAUAUCUCUAUAUCCUAAGGCUAGUUGAUUUCAAAAUCAACAUACGUAUGGAUGAGAUUAGGUCCACCCCUUUUCCAUUUUCUUUUAAGUGUGGUAUGUUUUAGGAGUAUGGUUCAUAAUACCAUAUUUCUAACAUGCAUUAACACUAAAACUUCUAUUGCUCGACCUCAGAUAAUCGUGACUUCUACAUAAGUCCAAUUACGAUUGCUUAAUAAAUCGCUAAAUUUUGACCCAAAAAGACAUAGCAUUCUAGUAAGUGAGAUUGUAAGUCUCCCCCCUUUCAUGGUAUUGUGUGGAAACUUGGCUUUUUUCCUUCCUUUGGAAGAUUUAUUGGUUCAAGGAUCCAUGCUUGUGAAUAUAGGGUUGAGUGUUCUCCAAAGAAUGACUUAAACAAUUGAAAAGCAAAAGCAAUACUAACUUCUAAUCAACUAACAUUGAACUAACAUUUAAUUUCAAGCCAUUUACUUUUAUUCACUUUAAAUUCAAGUCUUUAUUCAUUUUCCAUUAUUCAUACCAUUUAACUUGCUUACUUUAAAUGGUAUUUUCACUUUGCUCACUUGAGCCAUAUCUGGUGACUAUAUUGUGAUUGUAUAUACUUGUUUGUGUUGGUGGUAUUUUGACCUUAAUGUACAUAAUAACAACAAAGACUCUAAAAAAGGAUUUGUGUGGACUGUUGGAUUUGAUCUGAGACAUUGGACUUAGAAUUAGGCAACAUUCCCUAUGAAAAAAGGACUUGGCCAAUACCAACUUGUUUCUAAAACCAAGUGCUUGUGAAGAAAACUUUCAUCUGAUGCAAAUAUUAAAGAUCCUUUUGAGUUCAUCUUCUACAUGGUCUUGAUGAAGUUGUUACUUUGAACCUGUGUCUAAUGCCUAUCUCUGAGCCAUUCAAGGAUUUAUGUCAUCUGAUACAUGGGAUAUCAUGAAGAAGAUCAUGAAGUUGCUAGCUUGGAUGUGGCUAUCUUUAUUUGAUGCCUUGCUAUUUGUGUAUUGAUAUUGCUUGAUUCUAAUGUCCAAGGGAAAAUUGGGUUUCUAUAUGACAUUCUUGUCUAUUGGAUUACAUCCCAUUGGUCAGAUAUUUUCAACUUUUAACUUUUAAUUUUUGCUUAGGAUUAGUCUCUUCAUCUCCUCCCACUUCUUUAAUUUCAAAUGUCCCCCCUUUUUUAAAAUAUUCUUUGCUUGUGUUUUCUAAACUUAGACCUUGUUACAAAUCAGAAACUUUGGCCUUAUGCCGUUGCAUUUUCAAAUUCUUUUCUUAAUCAAAUUUGUAAAUAAACUUAACUAUACUUGACUUAAAAUUUCAAAAGACAAAAAGAACUAACACUCAUUCAAACCCUUUUAGGCCUUUUGUGCCUUUGUUAAACUUAAAAUUUUGUUAAAAGCAACUCAUUCACUUUGAAAAUGUUAGCACGAACUACGAGGUUUUGAUCCCUCAUUUUAUGUUGGUACGUAGGCACAAGUCUGAAGGUCUUGUCAAACACAAAAAUAUAAUUAAUGAAUUCUUCUCUCAUCCCCACACUCUAUUUAUUACAAACAUCUUUUAUACCAAAACACAUGUCCACACAAAAAAGGGCUCCCUAGGAGUACUUAAGACACUUUGAGUGCUAACACAUUCCCUCUGUGUAACCAACCCCAUUACCUGUAAUCUCUGGAAUUUUAUUAUUUUUGAUUUGAAAACUUCUUAUCUUUGGGUUUUGUUCGUACUUUUCCCUUUUCCCUUGGAAACAAUAAAAGCGCGGUGGCGACUCUAGAUUAAUUGACGAUAAUUUUAUCCAUAGCUUGAUGGUCAUGAAUUUACCGCUACAGCAGACCCAGUUGAGGUAGCAACCUAUGAGAUGACAGUCCUCUGAGGAGGAGGAAUUGCAGAAGUUGGAGAAGACUAACUCUGAGCAGCUAGAACAAACUCCAUCAUGGCAGUCAAGAGGGCAAUCUCGUCCUUCAACUCUCGGUUCUCUUGUUCCAAAUGUUCCAUGAUUCUCGGAUGAUUGGCACGAGUAUUGUAUCGAUGAGUCAGCCUGGCUGAAGCACAGAAGAAUAAUCAAUAAGACAUCUGCAGAAGAAAAACCUGUUAUGUAAAUGAUGCAUGAAAUGAAAUUUUUUGUUUGUUUUUAUUUUCAAGGAACAUACUAUUUUAUUUGCAAAUUUAUAAUUACAAUUGUAACAAUUUGAUUUACCAUAAAAAUCUCUUAUAUUUAUAUAAUUUGGAAGGAUUACACUGAGUAAAAUUUUAGAAACCAAAAUAUAAAUAUAAGAGAAAAGGAAACUAAUCAUCCUAAGGAUCCCCUAACAACAGUGUUAGAUGAUCUAGCUGCAUGCGGGUACUUCCAUCGGAUGCGUCGGAUCUCGAACUCAAAAGAAGUCUUCAUCUGAGCCUUCUCGAGGACAAGCUGAUCAACAAUCUUCUUCCAAGCACCAGAAGGCUGAGACAUACUGGAGGAAGAUGGACCUUCUGGCUCUCUUUGUCUCUUCACUACUCGGUCUUCAAGAAGUUCAAUAAGCGCAUCUUUGUCCUUAGACUCGAGUUGUAACUCAUCAUGCUUUCAGAUCAAAGCAUGGAACCGCUCUUCCCACAUAUCCUUCUCUUGCUUCAUCUUGGCGAGUGCGUCUUCCAACUCCUCUACAUCUUGGUUAGGGAGAGUUGAUGGCUCAACCACAACCAUAGACAUAGGUCUCUCACAAGCAUAAGACAUCUUCAACUCCAAAGCUCUCUUCUUCACCCAAAUAGUGUAAGCUUCCAAAGCUACACAGUUACAUGGACCAAGCUCGGAUCUUCCUUUCCUAUGCACAUUAUGCCAAGAGUGAAUCAUCUCCUGCUUCAAAAGUUGGGGAUCUUUACCCUCUUGAUAGAAAAUACCUUCUAACUAAGUGUUAUUAGGUUUGUCUCUCAAAGGGAACCCAAAUUGACGACGAGCCAAAGCAGGGUUGUAGUUGAUUCCUCCUUGUGUACCAAUGAGAGGCACAUUAGAGAAUUCACCACAACUAUAAAUAAUCUCCAAGUUGCUCAAUGAAGAAUAAUACCAAACUAUAUCAUUAUUAAUGAGAGGCAUAAGUCUCUGAGACCACCGUAGACAUUGUUUGUUCUCCAUAAAAGUAGGCGUCUGAGGCAAGUGCGAAAUAAACCACUUGUACAGAAGAGGAACACAACACACAAUAGUUCCACCACCUUUAGAAUUCCUCAAGUGAAAAGAGAAGUACACAUCACCCAACAAAGUAGGCACAAGAUUCCCAAUCAAGAAGAAUCUAAUGGCAUUAACAUCAAUAAAAUCGUCAGUGUUAGAGAACAAAGCCAAACCAUUGAUGAGCAACACAAAGAUGGCUUUGAAAGCAUCCACACUACCGGCUUGAGCAAAGGCAGUAGCUUUCCCAAUAAGGAACUCAGAAGUCAACCCAAACAUUCCUCCUUUCUUCAUCCAAUGAGCCUUAAUCUCAGACUUCUUCAAGUGAAGAGCUUCGGCUAUGAUAUGAGAUCUGGGAAUCUCGUCCAAUCCACUAAAAGGCACUUUGUUAGAAAUGGGUAUUCCUAAGAGAUGGGCAUACUCCUCCAAUGUAGGCAUAAUCUGAUAAUCGGGAAACGUGAAGCAACGGUAGAGAGGGUCAUAAAAUUGAACCAACACACUCAAGAGCCAUUACACUACAUCAGCAGAUAACACAGAUAACAACUUCCCAUGACGUUGUUUGAAGUCCAAGGAAUCUAAUACAAAAGAUGAUAGCUUCCUUAGCUCUUUCAAGUCGGGACAUCUGAAAAUUUACUUCUUAGUGUUCCUUCGCCCAUAAUCCAUGGUCUAAAAAUAUUUGCAAAUACAACCUCAGUUCCUUGAAGUUAUUUUUCGUGUGAUCGAUGUUAUGAUGCGCAUGUAUGCAUGAAUGCAACAAUCAUAAAUAAGGGAUCACACACAAGGUAAACAAACAAAGGUCAAGGUAUGAAUCAAGUCAUUGUUAAGAUCAAUCAUCCAUUUUGGUGGAUUAUGGUUUUCACCUUAUCAACACCAAAGUUCCAUUGAUAUUGACAAGACUUGAUUGGAUCAACCAAGAAUCAAGGGUUUGUUGUGAGUCACGAGCAUGGAGUCAGGUUAAGAACCAUCCCAAAGGAGUGUAAUAAGGAUAAAACCUGUAGAUCAUGUUUUAAAAAGUUCCCAGAGUCUUAAUUCCAUCUAUCAGAUAUUACACGUUAGGAUGACUGACUCAUCAACCCAUAAUAUUCUCAAAAGAAACUCGUCUGAGUGUAGUAUCGCGUAACAAUUGUUAUCAAGUCUGCACCUGAACAGUCUCCGCACUACGUCCUAAAUAGGCCAAGUUGGGUUAAAUGUUCUAUGGUCCUCAACUUCUCGGACCCCAAAUUAGAGAAAGCAAUGCCUAACCACAAAUAACUUAUGUGACAUCAGUAACUCCAAAAGGGUCUCCACUAAUUAGAUGGAUCUCAAGCCAACUUGUUAAGGACUACUCCACACAAGUUGAACAUGAUUAUACCAUCCUCCUAUCUUAAUUACACUCAUGUUCAGGUUAAAACUUAUCUCACCACUCAAAGAUCACCAAGCACAACAAGCAGAUUAUAUCAGAGAAAAAAUAUACAAAUAUAUACACAUAAAAAAGUAGGCUAACCCCACUGAGGACUACUCCCCAGCAGAGUCGCCACGUAAUUUUUGUAAUGGUAAAUUCAUGACCAAUAAGCUAUGGAUAAACUUAACGUCAAUUAAACUAGAGCCGCCACCGCGCUUUUAUUGUUUCCAAAAGGAAAAGAAAAAAGUACGAACAAAACCCAAAGAUAAGAAGUUUUCAAAUCAAAACUAAUAAAAUGCCAGAGAUUACAGGUAAGGGGGUUGGUUACACAGAGGGAAGGUGUUAGCACCCAAAGUGUCCUAGGUAGUCUUAGGGAGCCCUUUUUUAUGUAUGUAUGUGUUUUGGUAUAAAAGAUGUUUGAGAAAAAUAGAGUGUGGGGAUGACAAAAGAAUUCAAUGAUUAUAUUUUUGUGUUUGAUAAAACCUUCAUACUUGUGCCUACAUACCAACAUAAAAAUGAGGGAUCAAAAUCUCGUAGUUCGUGGUAACAAUUUCAAAAUAGAGGUUGUUGAAUCAAAGCUUGGGCAUGAGGUCCCUAUUUCUGAGCAAGAGAGGUCUUAUUUAUAGGCCAUGAGAUUGAUAAUUGCACACUUCCAUUUUUGACAAAAGUUUGAAAAUCUCUCUUGCAUGCUUGCAUGGGCGUGUGAUAGGCCCAUCAAGUGAUGCACUUAGGUCCAAAAUUGAGUCUAAGUCAUGCUGAAAUCAUGUUGUCAAACCAUGCAUUCGUGUAUGAAAAGUGGAACUUGAAACCAUCCAAAUGGUCCUUCAACUUUAACCAAUGUGCAAGUGCCUCAUACUUUGUCCAAAUGAGAUGAUUUUAGACUUUUUGGAAAGGUUAGAUCAAGAGGAACAACUCAUGUUUAACACUUUUUCAUUUAAAGCUUGGAUCAUGAUGUAUUUUGAGGUGAAAGUUUGGAAAAUCAAACAUAUCAAAACAAAUUCUAAGUACCAAGCCAUAUGUUCACUUCUUCCACCUUGAAUAACUUUUUUAUGGACCUCAAAUGAGAAAAGUUUAUUCAUCAAAGUUGUAAAAAUUUCAAAUCCCUUCAAUUUGGUGACAAAUUGGACCUCAUUUGGAUUUAUCAUGAAGAAGUUAUGCAUUUUAGAAGUUGAGGAAAAUCACUUGUUUAAUGGUAUUGGCCCAAAAUGACCUAUAAUGUUUUCUCUUGGCACAUGCAUUUUCAAGCUGAAUUUGAACUUCCCCCAUACAUCAAAAGUUAAGUAGACAUAUUGAAUUUAAUCAUGCAACUUGAAUGGCUUUAAUAUCAUAAAAAUUGAGCAAGUUAUGGUCUUGGGAAGUUGACCUCCAAACUAGGGUUUAGACAAAAUGACCUAUAACCUUUCACAAUAAAAAAUGACUUUCCAAGCAAAACUAGCUCUUGACAUAAACAUGAAAGUUGUUUGGAAAGUCAUUUAGAGUAACGUAGCUCUUGGAAUAAUUUUCAUAUGACAGAAAUUGUAGGAGAUAGGGAACCCCAGUUUUGACUAGUUGACUUUCUCUAGUCAACCACCAUGAACCAACUUGCUAUCUUGAUAUUCUCUUGACUUUGGGGAUUCAUCGAGGAUCAUAUAUGAAUAAGAUGAUGUAAUGUGAAGUAUCCCAUGAAAUAUUUGAUCAAUUGGUGAAGAAACUUGUUGAAGAAGUCACACAAGAUACCCAGAUGAAUUAGGAUUUCCAAGGCAAACCAACUCUAAACUCUUGGUGAUUUUUUUAUCAAAACAACAUGUGAAGAUCAUGGGGAUCCAUAUAUGAUACUUAUAUCCAAUGUAAACCUUUUCUUGAUUGAGCUCCUUGCAUUGAGGGUUUUAAACCCUAGAUAUGAGCUUGAUAGAACAUAGGUGAGCAUACCCACUACCUACAAAAGAGUUAAACUAUACAUUGACAUAUUUUUGGUAUUUUGGUUAGUAAAUGAUAAAAAAACUAAGUAUGAUACAAUCAAAUUGUGUUUGGUGAUCUCUCCUAAUGCAAACCCAAUUAAUUAGGGGUAAGGAGGAUGCAAAGGUGUGAUCCCAAUGCUAAUGUAUAUGAUGAGAUGACAUGAGAGAUCUUAGGGUCAAAAUUGGGGUCUUACAGCCAAAUGGUCAGCAUACUCGGUAAGCACUGACCGGUCAAUGGGUCCUCUAAAAAAUCCUUCAUCGGUGUGCACAGAGAGCUCGAUCGAAGGAGUUGAAACCUCCAUGUCCGCAGUAACAGACGGUCAACAACAUCAGCAUCUGGCUUGACCACCCGAGCAACCUCCUUCAAACCAACAUCCUCAAUAACAACUGAAUGUGCAACUUCCUCAACCACCAUAUUAACCACUUCAUCAGCAACAAUAACAUCUAACACCACCUAAUCUCUAGGUUGCUCUACUGACUGUAUCGAUCGGCGUCGAGUGCUACGAGGUGCCCAGAACUGACCCUGCUCGAUCAACCACUUCUGGUGUGAACUGGUUGAGGCCACUCGUCUAGCCCGUAUAUGGGAAGACUCAGCGUCAUCACCUUUAGCAGCCCUAGCCUAGUCUCUUGCUCGAUCAACAGCUCUCCCUGCAAUAUGUCGUCUCUGUCUCUAUAAAUUUCAAAAUAAUUUAAAAUAAUUUUACAAAGACAGUGUUGACUUUUCAUACGCAAUGGGGGAUGUCUGAUCUAAAUGAAGAGUGUCAAGUUAAAUGCUCAAAUAGUAGUUAUAAAGGGUAUUCAAGCCUUACAAAAAUAAAGAAUAAAACCUCUCAUGUCUUAUUACACAAAGGAGAUAGAAAAAGGAGCAAUAUUAAGCGAGAGAUAUUAAAUAAUCGAUUUAUAAUUUCUUAACUAGUACAAAAUAAACUUAAAGGUGUCUAUAUAUUUAUAUAGCAAGUAAACAUAAUCACGGAUCCUCUUUUAUGUUUGAAUAUUUUAUUAUAAAUAGGUUGCGUAGAUAAGGAGUAUGUAUAUUCAUGUCUAUUUGUCUUACUCUAUUAUUUGGUAUGACCCUUAUUUACAAGGUUUUUCUAAGUGCCUUAUAUGCAUGCCAUUUUGUUUUGAUGUUAAACAAUAUCAUCUAUUUUACCACCCUAUUUCAUUUUUCAAUUUAAAAUGGCAAAUGUUCAUCUUUACACGUCUUUCAAAAGUUCAUAUUAAAAAUUUGAAGUAGAAUAUGAUGAUACCUCUUAUAAAAGGUUCAUCUUUAGACGUCUUUUAAAAGCUUCAUAUUAAAAAUGGUAAAAGGUUCAUCUUUACUACAAGACAUGCUUCUCUAUGUAUAUAUAUAAACCUCUUUCUCAUUCAUUCAAACCUCACAAUCCUCUUAUAACUCUUAAACUCUUGAGUUAUUUCUCUCUUUAUUAACUAUGUCAACUUCUCUUGAUUAUGAUGAUCUCUUAGAAAAAAGCAAAAAAAUUCUUGACUUCAUAGAGGAUGUUACUACACAUGCAGAUGAAAUCCAAAAGAAAGUGUUAGCUGAAAUUCUGUCUCACAAUGCAAAUGUUGAGUACUUACAAAGACAUGGUCUCAAUGGCCAAACUGAUAGUGAAACCUUCAAGAAACUUGUCCCUAUCAUAACCUAUGAUGAUAUCAAAAAUGAUAUUAACCGUAUUGCUAAUGGUGAUACUUCUCCAAUCCUUACCUCAAACCCUAUUUCACACUUUCUCACUAGGUGAAACUUGGUUUUGGUUUAGUUGGAAAUUUAAGAUUAUAUUUAUAUGCUAACUACAUAUUAAUUGGCUUGUUUUGGUUAUUUUUGGUAUUGCAGCUCAGGAACAUCUGGUGGUGAGAGAAAGUUGAUGCCAGCAACAGAAGAAGAAUCCGGAAGAAGAUAUUUUCUAUAUAGUCUUUUGAUGCCAGUAAUUAGUCAAUUUGUUCCUGACCUAGAAAAAGGCAAAGGAAUGUACCUAAUGUUCAUAAAAAGUGAAUUUAAAACACCAGGAGGCAUUAAAGCUAGUCCUGUGCUCACAAACUACUACAAAAGUUCUCAUUUUAUAAACAGGUCUUCUGAUCCAUACACAAAUUACACAAGUCCAAAUGAAACUGUUGUUUGUCUUGACUCAUACCAAAGUAUGUAUUCACAACUUCUAUGUGGUCUUUGUCAAAACAAAGAGGUCCUUCGCGUCGGUGCUGUUUUCGCUUCCGGUCUCAUUCGCGCCAUUCGGUUCCUCGAGAAAAAUUGGUCACUUCUUUGCGAUGAUAUAAGAACAGGAACAAUUAAUCCUCUCAUCACUGACACUUCAGUGAGAGAGGCUGUGAUGAAGAUUCUCAAACCUGAUAAAAAUCUUGCUGAUUUUGUUGAAUUUGAGUGUAGCAAAGGUUGUUGGCAAGGUAUUAUAACUAGGUUGUGGCCUAAUACUAAGUAUGUUGAUGUUAUUGUGACAGGAUCAAUGGCACAGUAUAUUCCUACUUUGGAUUAUUAUAGUAAUGGUCUUCCACUUGUUUGUACUAUGUAUGCUUCCAGUGAAUGUUUUUUUGGUGUUAACCUUAAUCCUCUUAGUAAACCUUGUCACGUGUCUUAUACCCUUAUCCCUACCAUGUGCUACUAUGAGUUCUUACCUGUUAAUAGAAGUAAUGAUCCUGUGAAUGAGAAAGAACAACAAGAGUUAGUGGAUCUUGUUGAUGUCAAGCUUGAUCAAGAAUAUGAGCUUGUUGUUACCACUUAUGCUGGUGAGUUAUUUAUUUACUAUCAAUAUUUUUUGUGGAAACUAAAAAUCUGUAUUAAUUUCUAUCUGAUUUAAACUUUUAAAAAUAAACAAUUAAAAUAUAGGUUUACUAAUAAACAUGAGUGUGACAAUUACAGGACUUUAUAGGUACAAAGUGGGAGAUGUAUUGAAAGUGACAGGAUUCAAGAACAAUGCACCGCAAUUCAAAUUUGUGUGCAGAAAAAACGUUGUUCUAAGCAUAGAAUCAGACAAAACAGACGAAGUUGAGCUACAAAAUGCAAUUAAAAAUGGUGUCACGCAUUUAGCACCAUAUGAUGCAGACGUAGCGGAGUACACUAGUUAUGCAGACACAAGCACAAUUCCAGGACACUAUGUGUUGUAUUGGGAGUUAAACCUUAAAGGUUCAACAACAAUUCCAGAUUGUGUUUAUGAAGAUUGUUGUUUAACUAUUGAAGAGUCGUUUAACAGUGUUUAUCGACAAGGUCGUGUUUCGGAC
rnacentral:lncRNA from 1 species